GACGAACGCUGGCGGCGUGCCUAACACAUGCAAGUCGAGCGAGUGAAUCUCCUUCGGGAGUGAAGCUAGCGGCGGACGGGUGAGUAACACGUGGGCAACCUGCCUCAUAGAGGGGAAUAGCCUUUCGAAAGGAAGAUUAAUACCGCAUAAGAUUGUAGCUUCGCAUGAAGUAGCAAUUAAAGGAGCAAUCCGCUAUGAGAUGGGCCCGCGGCGCAUUAGCUAGUUGGUGAGGUAACGGCUCACCAAGGCGACGAUGCGUAGCCGACCUGAGAGGGUGAUCGGCCACAUUGGGACUGAGACACGGCCCAGACUCCUACGGNAGGCAGCAGUGGGGANUAUUGCACAAUGGGGGAAACCCUGAUGCAGCAACGCCGCGUGAGUGAUGACGGCCUUCGGGUUGUAAAGCUCUGUCUUCAGGGACGAUAAUGACGGUACCUGAGGAGGAAGCCACGGCUAACUACGUGCCAGCCGCCGCCGUAA
rnacentral:rRNA from 1 species